CUUCCCAUUUAUUUGUUGUCAUAGUCUUUUCAAUGAUCUGAGCAGUUAUAUGCAUGGGAUAAAAUAACAUUGGGCCAUUGUAAAUUGAAAUGGAAUAACUGUUUCAUUUCUUCAUGCAUGGUCUAGACAUUG